rnacentral:rRNA from 1 species
UACGGAGGGUGCAAGCGUUAUCCGGAAUCAUUGGGGUUAAAGGGUCCGCAGGCGGUCUUAUAAGUCAGUGGUGAAAGCCUACAGCUCAACUGUAGAACUGCCAUUGAUACUGUAAGACUUGAAUUCGAUCGAAGUGGGCGGAAUAUGACAUGUAGCGGUGAAAUGCUUAGAUAUGUCAUAGAACACCGAUAGCGAAGGCAGCUCACUAGGUCUGGAUUGACGCUCAGGGACGAAAGCGUGGGGAGCAAACAGG